rnacentral:rRNA from 1 species
UGCCUAUACAUGCAAGUCGAGCGAACAGAUAAGGAGCUUGCUCCUUUGACGUUAGCGGCGGACGGGUGAGUAACACGUGGGUAACCUACCUAUAAGACUGGGAUAACUUCGGGAAACCGGAGCUAAUACCGGAUAACAUUUGGAACCGCAUGGUUCUAAAGUGAAAGAUGGUUUUGCUAUCACUUAUAGAUGGACCCGCGCCGUAUUAGCUAGUUGGUAAGGUAACGGCUUACCAAGGCGACGAUACGUAGCCGACCUGAGAGGGUGAUCGGCCACACUGGAACUGAGACACGGUCCAGACUCCUACGGGAGGCAGCAGUAGGGAAUCUUCCGCAAUGGGCGAAAGCCUGACGGAGCAACGCCGCGUGAGUGAUGAAGGGUUUCGGCUCGUAAAACUCUGUUAUUAGGGAAGAACAAAUGUGUAAGUAACUGUGCACGUCUUGACGGUACCUAAUCAGAAAGCCACGGCUAACUACGUGCCAGCAGCCGCGGUAAUACGUAGGUGGCAAGCGUUAUCCGGAAUUAUUGGGCGUAAAGCGCGCGUAGGCGGUUUCUUAAGUCUGAUGUGAAAGCCCACGGCUCAACCGUGGAGGGUCAUUGGAAACUGGGAAACUUGAGUGCAGAAGAGGAAAGUGGAAUUCCAUGUGUAGCGGUGAAAUGCGCAGAGAUAUGGAGGAACACCAGUGGCGAAGGCGACUUUCUGGUCUGUAACUGACGCUGAUGUGCGAAAGCGUGGGGAUCAAACAGGAUUAGAUACCCUGGUAGUCCACGCCGUAAACGAUGAGUGCUAAGUGUUAGGGGGUUUCCGCCCCUUAGUGCUGCAGCUAACGCAUUAAGCACUCCGCCUGGGGAGUACGACCGCAAGGUUGAAACUCAAAGGAAUUGACGGGGACCCGCACAAGCGGUGGAGCAUGUGGUUUAAUUCGAAGCAACGCGAAGAACCUUACCAAAUCUUGACAUCCUUUGAAAACUCUAGAGAUAGAGCCUUCCCCUUCGGGGGACAAAGUGACAGGUGGUGCAUGGUUGUCGUCAGCUCGUGUCGUGAGAUGUUGGGUUAAGUCCCGCAACGAGCGCAACCCUUAAGCUUAGUUGCCAUCAUUAAGUUGGGCACUCUAGGUUGACUGCCGGUGACAAACCGGAAGAAAGGUGGGGAUGACGUCAAAUCAUCAUGCCCCUUAUGAUUUGGGCUACACACGUGCUACAAUGGACAAUACAAAGGGCAGCUAAACCGCGAGGUCAUGCAAAUCCCAUAAAGUUGUUCUCAGUUCGGAUUGUAGUCUGCAACUCGACUACAUGAAGCUGGAAUCGCUAGUAAUCGUAGAUCAGCAUGCUACGGUGAAUACGUUCCCGGGUCUUGUACACACCGCCCGUCACACCACGAGAGUUUGUAACACCCGAAGCCGGUGGAGUAACCAUUUAUGGAGCUAGCCGUUCGAUAG